GUGCCUGCCGCCGCCGCCGCUGCCGCCGCCGAAGCGGAGACCGGAGCCGCGAGCGCCACCAGGGCAGCAGCCGCCGCAGCCGCCGCCGCUGGACUGAGGAGCCGGAGACGCGGGCGGACGAGGUGGCGGCGGCGGCGGAGCAGGAGCGGAGAUCGAGAGCGGGCAGAGCACGACGGCGAGGGUGUAUUCCAGAGAAUAGAUCUUUAAACAUCUUUGCUGUAUUGACACUGAGCUAUCAGGGGACUAAGGCUUAUGAGGAGGUAUUGUCACACAAAACAGUGCCUCCUGAAGACGACAAGAAAGAGGGAAAAGGAUCGGGAAAAAAGCUAAAAUACUAUAGAAAACCAUGAGAUCUAUUCGAUCUUUUGCCAAUGAUGAUCGCCAUGUUAUGGUGAAACAUUCAACAAUCUAUCCAUCCCCAGAGGAACUUGAAGCCGUUCAGAAUAUGGUGUCUACUGUUGAAUGCGCUCUUAAACAUGUCUCAGAUUGGUUGGAUGAAACAAAUAAGGGCACAAAAACAGAGGGUGAGACAGAAGGGAAGAAAGACGAGGCUGGAGAAAACUAUUCCAAGGAUCAAGGUGGUCGGACAUUGUGCGGUGUAAUGAGGAUUGGCUUGGUUGCAAAAGGUUUGCUGAUUAAAGAUGAUAUGGACUUGGAGCUGGUUUUAAUGUGCAAAGACAAACCCACAGAGACCCUGUUAAAUACAGUCAAAGAUAACCUUCCUAUUCAAAUUCAGAAACUCACAGAGGAGAAAUAUCAAGUGGAACAGUGUAUAAAUGAGGCAUCUAUUAUAAUUCGGAAUACAAAAGAGCCCACACUAACUUUGAAGGUGAUACUUACUUCCCCUCUAAUUAGAGACGAAUUGGAGAAGAAGGAUGGAGAAAAUGUUUCAUUGAAAGAUCCUCCGGACUUAUUGGACAGGCAGAAAUGCUUAAACGCCUUGGCGUCUCUUCGACAUGCCAAAUGGUUUCAGGCCAGGGCAAAUGGAUUAAAAUCAUGUGUAAUUGUCCUCCGAAUUCUGCGUGAUUUGUGCAACAGAGUCCCCACAUGGGCACCAUUAAAAGGAUGGCCAUUAGAACUUAUAUGUGAAAAGUCUAUAGGUACUUGUAAUCGACCUUUGGGUGCUGGGGAGGCCUUGAGAAGAGUAAUGGAGUGUUUGGCGUCUGGAAUACUACUGCCUGGGGGUCCUGGUCUUCAUGAUCCUUGUGAGCGAGAUCCAACAGAUGCUCUGAGCUAUAUGACCAUACAGCAAAAAGAAGAGAUUACUCACAGUGCACAGCACGCACUCAGACUGUCAGCCUUUGGCCAGAUUUAUAAAGUGCUGGAGAUGGACCCCCUUCCAUCUAGUAAGCCUUUUCAGAAGUAUUCCUGGUCAGUUAAUGAUAAAGAAGGUGCUGGGUCUUCAACUCUAAAGAGGCCAUUUGAAGAUGGAUUAGGGGAUGAUAAAGACCCCAAUAAGAAGAUGAAACGAAACUUAAGGAAAAUCUUGGAUAGUAAAGCAAUAGACCUUAUGAAUGCACUCAUGAGGCUAAAUCAGAUCAGGCCCGGGCUUCAGUAUAAGCUCUUAUCUCAGUCUGGCCCUGUCCAUGCCCCAGUCUUCACAAUGUCUGUAGAUGUGGACGGCACAACAUAUGAAGCCUCAGGACCAUCCAAGAAAACAGCAAAACUUCAUGUAGCAGUGAAGGUAUUGCAGGCAAUGGGAUACCCAACAGGCUUCGAUGCAGAUAUUGAAUGUAUGAGUUCCGAUGAGAAAUCAGAUAAUGAAAGCAAAAAUGAAACAGUGUCUUCAAAUUCAAGCAAUAAUACUGGAAAUUCUACAACUGAAACCUCCAGUACCUUAGAGGUAAGAACUCAGGGCCCUAUCCUCACAGCAAGUGGCAAAAACCCUGUAAUGGAGCUCAAUGAAAAAAGAAGAGGUCUCAAGUAUGAACUCAUCUCAGAGACUGGGGGAAGCCAUGACAAGCGCUUUGUAAUGGAGGUAGAAGUAGAUGGACAGAAAUUCAGAGGCGCAGGUCCAAAUAAAAAAGUGGCAAAGGCAAGUGCAGCGUUAGCUGCCCUGGAGAAGCUAUUUUCUGGACCCAAUGCAGCAAAUAAUAAGAAAAAGAAGAUUAUCCCUCAGGCGAAGGGUGUUGUGAAUACAGCUGUGUCUGCAGCAGUCCAGGCUGUUCGGGGCAGAGGAAGAGGAACUCUAACAAGAGGAGCUUUUGUGGGGGCGACAGCUGCUCCUGGCUACAUAGCUCCAGGGUAUGGAACACCAUAUGGUUACAGUACAGCUGCCCCUGCUUAUGGUUAAUACUUUUAAGCAGUUUUCAGCACGUUUAUCUCACUUUAUUCUCGUUCUCCUCGGACCUUCGUAGCCAUAUCACUUGUAUAAAAUAGGCUGAGAUAUAGUGACUGUAAGCUGUGAUCUCAGUAUACAAAGAAUCAACAUUAGCAAGACUCACAAUGGUGAAUACCAAGUCUGCAGAGACCAAAUAGACUUGAAGCAAUUCAUCUGUCUUUUCUAGGUUAGGUAGCUUAAUUCCAUUUUCCCCACCUUAUUCAACCAUUAUGGAGUUUGUUUAAAAGAUUUGAGAGAGUUAGGCCAAAUAUUUUAAUAAGGAUUUGCUUCAUUUAAUAUGUCCCAUAAAUUCAUUUCAUUAUGUGCUAGAUGUUCUGUGCUAAGGCUGUAUUUGAUAUAUAGAUAUUAAAAUGAAUUUCAUGUUUUAUAUUUGUUUCUAAGUGGCAGUUUCUUUUGAUUAUUAACUUUAAGGUUGCUGGAACAACUUUCUUUUCCAUACAGAAUCUAUAUGUACAUAAUCUGACUUUGGCGUACAUAAAAAGGUUGUAUGAGGUAUAGCUGAUUAGAACCAAGUGGUUCAAGCACUCCAGUCCUGCUUGAACAGCCCAGUACCUGUCAUGAGGCGGGUUUUUUUUUUUUAGGUGGGGGGUAACCAGAGAACAGAGGCUCUGACCAUUGGAAACAUUUUAAGUUUGAAAGUCUCCGUAUUGGUAGAAUUUGGCCUAUUGUAAAUACGCCCUGUUUAUAUCCUAUUUUGGGAGACAAAUAGUGUGUUAGCUGUGGCAAAAAGAAUAUUAACUUAGUUAAUAGCUUAUUUAUAAAUUAUUGAAUAAUGUAGGCUCUUCUUCACCACUGAAAUAGGCAAGAUGUGGAAAUUUACCCAUUUAAAAUACUUUCUCAGCAGUUUGGAGAGGUUGAAACCUAUUCAGGUUUCUGUUAGGAGAGGCUGAACCCUAUUCAGGUUUCUGUUAGGGGACCUCUUCCAAGUAAGUGAACUGAGUGAAGUGAAUAAUUCAGUCCUUUUUAUGUAGUUUUUGUAGUAUAGCCAAGAACAAAGUAGUAAAUUUAAAUACUGACCACAUUUUUUUUUUUUUUAUGCAGAAUGAGGGGAAUUUCCCCCUUUUAAUCAAUCUACUAUAAUUUUCCUGUUCCUUAGAUUUUAUGAAUAACUUCAGUGGAGAAAACCUCCAGCAGUGAGUUAAGGGAACUAAGGAGAUUUCCCCCCACCCCCAAGCAAUUCUAUUUCUAAUAACCCAGAUCCCUAAAAGCCAGGGACAUUAAGAGCAGUUAAGGCUGAAAACAACCUGCUCUAUGAAUGGCCUUUCCAUAAUUCCCAUUCAUCUUGCGGCAGAGAGAGAGUGGGGGCAUCUCUGAAAUCUUGCAGAAUAAGAAAAAUUUCAUGAUAUUCAAACUCAUACUGUCUAACAGUCUGACACUAUGCCACGGAUUUCCAGUGACCAUAGAUUUCUCAGUGUUACUAGGAGGCCUGGGAAGGAGAUGGGUGGUAAAUGAAUAACAACAGCAGAGCCAAGAAACUACUGCUGAGGUGAGUUUCAAUAUUGGUGUUUCUCUCCAGCUCUCAUUUGCAGAGCACAGAAUUAAGAUAUAAGAAUGGAUCUUUUCCUUUCCUAUUAGGAUUUUCCAGAAACACUGUUUUAAGUCAAGAAUUCAAGUUGUGUUAGUUGUAAGAAUAGAAAUCUUUUCUGAUGUUAUCAUUUUAGGUAGGAGUUAACAGCUUCCAUUGAUGCUUGAAGCAGUGAUCUUUGGAGGUUUUUAACAUAGUACAAUAAUACAGAUUAGGUUAUGUAAGCUUUAUAGCACAGCUAGAUAAUAGGGAAUAAAACCAUGUGGGAAUCUAGGCCAAAGUAUUUCUCUUCCUCCAGCAUAUUCCUGUGGGCCUCAGGAAUUAGAUGAGUUAAUUAAUACACAAAAAGUACUUUGAACAAUAUACCUGGUGCAUAGUAAGUACUUAGUAAAUAAAUGUUGACUGUUCUUAACUAUGGCUGGCCAAGGUGAAAGCAGGAACGUGAGGGAGGUUACAGCUGUGCUGACAGGUGGUUGGGAAGCAGGUGCAUGGCUGGUUAGGUGGAGCUAUGUUGGUUCCUUAGUGCUGAUAAGUUUCAGCUGCUCUCAGGCUUGGGCCAGGACUCCUAGCAUCUGGAGGUUGGCCAAGAAACACAAACUGAAGACUCAGUGAGAGCUGACGUGGUCACAGUUGGGAAAUUGCUUUUCGAUGAAAGGAAAAAUGGAUAGACGAUGAUAUGGAAACUGUCAGUUUAAAUAGAGUAUACAUUUUACUGUCCAUUCCUGGCUUGAGAGUAUGAACAAACACUUCAGGAGACUCCGAAGAAGGGUGUGUCUCUGGCUGUUGCUAAGAGCGUGGUUGAAGCAGCAGCCUGCUUUCGUGGACUGUCAUCAGUGCCUCGCCCAGAGAUGCCUGGCCUUCAUCCAAAGGGACCCUGCUGCCCCGACUCCUGCAGGCAGCAUCCACACUGUGGCUUC